rnacentral:rRNA from 1 species
AUUGAACGCUGGCGGCAUGCUUUACACAUGCAAGCCGAACGGUAACAGGUUAAGCUGACGAGUGGCGAACGGGUGAGUAAUGCAUCGGAACGUGCCCGAUCGUGGGGGAUAACGCAGCGAAAGCUGCGCUAAUACCGCAUACGAUCUGAGGAUGAAAGCGGGGGACCGUAAGGCCUCGCGCGAUCGGAGCGGCCGAUGUCAGAUUAGGUAGUUGGUGGGGUAAAGGCUCACCAAGCCGACGAUCUGUAGCUGGUCUGAGAGGACGACCAGCCACACUGGGACUGGGACACGGCCCAGACUCCUACGGGAGGCAGCAGUGGGGAAUUUUGGAAAAUGGGCGAAAGCCUGAUCCAGCAAUGCCGCGUGCAGGAAGAAGGCCUUCGGGUUGUAAACUGCUUUUGUACGGAGCGAAAGGGCUCUCUCUAAUACAGGGGGCUCAUGACGGUACCGUAAGAAUAAGCACCGGCUAACUACGUGCCAGCAGCCGCGGUAA